GACGAACGCUGGCGGCGUGCCUAAUACAUGCAAGUCGAAGGACCAGCGCACGGGAGAGUAACACGUAUCCAACCUUCCCUUUACUCUGGGAUAGCCUUUCGAAAGAAAGAUUAAUACCCGAUAUAAAGGAUGGGGAUGCGUUCCAUUAGGUUGUUGGUGAGGUAACGGCUAACCAAGCGUUCGAUGGAUAGGGGUUCUGAGAGGAAGGGCCACGACAUUGGAACUGAGGCACGGUCCACACUCCUACGGGAGGCAGCAGUGAGGAAUAUUGGUCAAUGGUCGCUAGCCUGAACCAGCCAAGUAGCGUGAAGGAUGAAGGCGUAUGGGUCGUAAAUUUCUUUUAUAUAAGAAUAUGUAUUCUAUGAAUAAGGAUCGGCUAACUCCGUGCCAGCAACCGCGGUAAUUC
rnacentral:rRNA from 1 species